rnacentral:rRNA from 1 species
ACGCCACUACGAGUCUGGGGUUGUGUGUGGACGACCAAACCUUCUCGGCAUCGUAACGAUCGAGAGAUCGGCCGACAUGGAAGGUGUGGUCCCUGAACUGACGAGGAUCCACGUGUUUGCUGCAUCCGCAGCCGGCACCAGGGACCGACGAUGUUCAGUAGGGAUCCUCAGAGACUGUACGCCAGGCGCUGCACGAGAAGCGGCGAUGAUACAGUCCGAUCCUCAUGGCGACAUGGGGAGCCCGGCAGAAAUGACCGGGCCCGUUCCUCCACGUAAUGAAUUCCACGUGGAGUGCGAAGUAACAAUCAUGCCUAAGGUAGCGAAAUUCCUUGUCGGGUAAGUUCCGACCUGCACGAAUGGCGCAACGACUUGGGCGCUGUCUCAACCAGAGACUCGGCGAAAUUGCAGUGUGAGUAAAGAUGCUCACUUCCUGCGACAGGACGGAAAGACCCCGGGACCUUUACUGCAGCUUGACAUUGGAGUUCGUUAUGUGAUGUGUAGGAUAGGUGGGAGACCGUGAAGCGGUGGCGCUAGUCAUCGUGGAGUCAACCUUGAAAUACCACCCUUCUCAUAAUGGUCUUCUAACCUCGAUCCGUUAUCCGGAUCAGGGACAGUGUCUGGCGGGCAGUUUCACUGGGGUGGUGGCCUCCUAAAAUGUAACGGAGGCGCCCAAAGGUUCUCUCAGUCUGGUCGGCAAUCAGACGUUGAGUGCAAGGGCACAAGAGAGCUUGACUGCGAGACCUACAAGUCGAGCAGGUUCGAAAGAAGGGCCUAGUGAUCCCUCGGCGGCAUGUGGGUGCGCCGAGGCCAACGGCUAAAAGGUACCCCGGGGAUAACAGGCUUAUCCUGCCCAAGAGUCCAUAUCGACGGCAGGGCUUGGCACCUCGAUGUCGGCUCGUCUCAUCCUGGGGCUGAAGCAGGUCCCAAGGGUCGGGCUGUUCGCCCGUUAAAGAGGCACGCGAGCUGGGUUUAGAACGUCGUGAGACAGUUCGGUCCCUAUCCG